rnacentral:rRNA from 1 species
AACGAACGCUGGCGGCAUGCCUAACACAUGCAAGUCGAACGAGACCUUCGGGUCUAGUGGCGCACGGGUGCGUAACGCGUGGGAACCUGCCCUUAGGUUCGGAAUAACUCCCCGAAAGGGGUGCUAAUACCGGAUAAUGUCUUCGGACCAAAGAUUUAUCGCCUUUGGAUGGGCCCGCGUUGGAUUAGCUAGUUGGUAGGGUAAAAGCCUACCAAGGCGACGAUCCAUAGCUGGUCUGAGAGGAUGACCAGCCACACUGGGACUGAGACACGGCCCAGACUCCUACGGGAGGCAGCAGUGGGGAAUAUUGGACAAUGGGCGAAAGCCUGAUCCAGCAAUGCCGGGUGAGUGAUGAAGGCCUUAGGGUUGUAAAGCUCUUUUACACGGGAUGAUAAUGACAGUACCGGGAGAAUAAGCUCCGGCUAACUCCGUG